rnacentral:rRNA from 1 species
GCAACCCUGACGGAGCAAGACCGCGUGGGGGAGGAAUGCCUUAGGGUUGUAAACCCCUUUUAUCUGGGAAGAAAAUACUGACGGUACCAGAUGAAUCAGCCUCGGCUAACUCCGUGCCAGCAGCCGCGGUAAUACGGAGGAGGCAAGCGUUAUCCGGAUUUAUUGGGCGUAAAGGGUCUGCAGGUGGCGGUUCAAGUCUGCUGUCAAAGACAGUAGCUCAACUACUGACAGGCACUGGAAACUGAAUCGCUAGAGAACGGUAGGGGCAGAAGGAAUUCCCGGUGUAGCGGUGAAAUGCGUAGAUUUCGGAAAGAACAUCGGCGGCGAAAGCGUUCUGCUGGACCGUAUCUGACACUCAGGGACGAAAGCUAGGGGAGC